rnacentral:rRNA from 1 species
AUGUUUGACGGAGUUGAGCGAAUGCUUCGGGGAGUCAGGCAUGUGUUAGGGCUAAGAAGGAAUCUAAUUUCGCUUGGUGUUCUUCAUGUUGGUGGUAUGGAAUUCCGUUGUGACGAUAAGAAGACCAUGAAAAUCAUGGAAGAUGGGGUGAUCGUGAUGAUAGGAGAGAGGGCGGCUUCACAUCUUUACAAGUUGCAAGGGAGCACUAUUGCAGGUGGAGCCAUGUAA